GACGAACGCUGGCGGCGUGCUUAACACAUGCAAGUCGAACGGGCCCGCCCCUUUGGGGGUGGGUUGAGUGGCGAACGGGUGAGUAUCACGUGAGUAACCUGCCCCCUGCUCCUGGAUAACUGCUUGAAAGGGCGGCUAAUACGGGGUGUGCCGGCUAGUCCGCAUGGGCCUGGUCGGGAUAGUUUCAUCUUCGGGUGUUUCGGUGGGGGAUGGGCUCGCGGCCUAUCAGCUUGUUGGUGGGGUGAUGGCCCACCAAGGCGGUGACGGGUAGCCGGCCUGAGAGGGUGGGCGGCCACACUGGGACUGAGACACGGCCCAGACUCCUGCGGGAGGCAGCAGUGGGGGGUAUUGCACAAUGGGCGGAAGCCUGAUGCAGCGACGUCGCGUGAGGGAUGGAGGCCUUCGGGUUGUGAACCUCUUUCUCCGGUGGUGAAGGCCCUGUCCGUUGCGGCGGGGUUGACGGUAGCCGGGUAUGAAGCGCCGGCUAACUACGUGCCAGCAGCCGCGGUAAUACGUAGGGCGCGAGCGUUGUCCGGAAUUAUUGGGCGUGAAGGGCUUGUAGGCGGCCGGUCGCGUCCGCCGCGAAAUUCUCCGGCUCAACCGGGGGCUUGCGGUGGGUACGGGCCGGCUGGAGUGCGGUAGGGGAGGCUGGAACUCCUGGUGUAGCGGUGGAAUGCGCAGAUAUCAGGAGGAACACCGGUGGCGAAGGCGGGUCUCUGGGCCGUUACUGACGCUGAGGAGCGAAAGCGUGGGGAGCGAACAGG
rnacentral:rRNA from 1 species